GGAGAGUUGGCCGAGUGGUUUAAGGCACCGGUUUACUAAACCGACGAGGGUGAAAGUCCUCCAUGGGUUCGAAUCCCAUACUCUCUUCCA
rnacentral:tRNA from 1 species